GAUGAAGAACGUAGCGAAAUGCGAUAAGUAGUGUGAAUUGCAGAAUUCAGUGAAUCUUCGAAUCUUUGAACGCACAUUGCGCCCCUUGGUAUUCCAUGGGGCAUGCCUGUUCGAGCGUCAUUUGUACCUUCAAGCUCUGCUUGGUGUUGGGUGUUUGUCUCGCCUCUGCGUGUAGACUCGCCUCAAAACAAUUGGCAGCCGGCGUAUUGAUUUCGGAGCGCAGUACAUCUCGCGCUUUGCACUCAUAACGACGACGUCCAAAAGUACAUUUUUACACCCUUGACCUCGGAUCAGGUAGGGAUACCCGCUGAACUUAAGCAUAUCAAUAAGCGGAGGA
rnacentral:misc_RNA from 1 species